UCACUUCUGGAAGAACCUCUAGGUACACUGGUUCUUGGCUGUGUGCCUGGUUCUCUUCUUGGACUGG
rnacentral:pre_miRNA from 1 species